AAACGGAUAGUACCCAUGCGGGCAGCAGAAAAAGAGUCAGAAAAAUUUCAAUAAAGGGUCAAAGCUCCACUAGGGAAUUUGAGAUUUUCAAUUUCAAUUCCCCUUUUCUGUGCGAGAAUAAGUGAAACUCGAAGUAUCAUCCUGUAGUUUCCUUGCAUUUUGAAGCUUAGACAUGGCAGAAAAGGCAUGUGUAAAGCGACUCCAGAAGGAAUAUAGAGCACUUUGU
rnacentral:misc_RNA from 1 species